GGUUAAGCGACUAAGCGUACACGGUGGAUGCCCUGGCAGUCAGAGGCGAUGAAGGACGUGCUAAUCUGCGAUAAGCGCCGGUAAGGUGAUAUGAACCGUUAUAACCGGCGAUUUCCGAAUGGGGAAACCCAGUGUGUUUCGACACACUAUCAUUAACUGAAUCCAUAGGUUAAUGAGGCGAACCGGGGGAACUGAAACAUCUAAGUACCCCGAGGAAAAGAAAUCAACCGAGAUUCCCCCAGUAGCGGCGAGCGAACGGGGAGGAGCCCAGAGCCUGAAUCAGCAUAUGUGUUAGUGGAAGCGUCUGGAAAGGCGCGCGAUACAGGGUGACAGCCCCGUACACAAAAGCGCAUGUGCUGUGAGCUCGAUGAGUAGGGCGGGACACGUGGUAUCCUGUCUGAAUAUGGGGGGACCAUCCUCCAAGGCUAAAUACUCCUGACUGACCGAUAGUGAACCAGUACCGUGAGGGAAAGGCGAAAAGAACCCCGGCGAGGGGAGUGAAAAAGAACCUGAAACCGUGUACGUACAAGCAGUGGGAGCACCCUUUGGGGUGUGACUGCGUACCUUUUGUAUAAUGGGUCAGCGACUUAUAUUCUGUAGCAAGGUUAACCGAAUAGGGGAGCCGGAGGGAAACCGAGUCUUAAUUGGGCGUUAAGUUGCAGGGUAUAGACCCGAAACCCGGUGAUCUAGCCAUGGGCAGGUUGAAGGUUGGGUAACACUAACUGGAGGACCGAACCGACUAAUGUUGAAAAAUUAGCGGAUGACCUGUGGCUGGGGGUGAAAGGCCAAUCAAACCGGGAGAUAGCUGGUUCUCCCCGAAAGCUAUUUAGGUAGCGCCUCGUGAAUUCAUCUCCGGGGGUAGAGCACUGUUUCGGCUAGGGGGCCAUCCCGGCUUACCAACCCGAUGCAAACUGCGAAUACCGGAGAAUGUUAUCACGGGAGACACACGGCGGGUGCUAACGUCCGUCGUGAAGAGGGAAACAACCCAGACCGCCAGCUAAGGUCCCAAAGUCAUGGUUAAGUGGGAAACGAUGUGGGAAGGCCCAGACAGCCAGGAUGUUGGCUUAGAAGCAGCCAUCAUUUAAAGAAAGCGUAAUAGCUCACUGGUCGAGUCGGCCUGCGCGGAAGAUGUAACGGGGCUAAACCAUGCACCGAAGCUGCGGCAGCGACGCUGAUGCGUUGUUGGGUAGGGGAGCGUUCUGUAAGCCUGCGAAGGUGGCCUGUGAGGGUUGCUGGAGGUAUCAGAAGUGCGAAUGCUGACAUAAGUAACGAUAAAGCGGGUGAAAAGCCCGCUCGCCGGAAGACCAAGGGUUCCUGUCCAACGUUAAUCGGGGCAGGGUGAGUCGACCCCUAAGGCGAGGCCGAAAGGCGUAGUCGAUGGGAAACGGGUUAAUAUUCCCGUACUUGGUGUUACUGCGAAGGGGGGACGGAGAAGGCUAUGUUGGCCGGGCGACGGUUGUCCCGGUUUAAGCGUGUAGGUGUGUGUUCCAGGUAAAUCCGGUUCACUUUAACACUGAGGCGUGAUGACGAGGCACUACGGUGCUGAAGCAACAAAUGCCCUGCUUCCAGGAAAAGCCUCUAAGCAUCAGGUAACAUCAAAUCGUACCCCAAACCGACACAGGUGGUCAGGUAGAGAAUACCAAGGCGCUUGAGAGAACUCGGGUGAAGGAACUAGGCAAAAUGGUGCCGUAACUUCGGGAGAAGGCACGCUGACACGUAGGUGAAGUGAUUUACUCAUGGAGCUGAAGUCAGUCGAAGAUACCAGCUGGCUGCAACUGUUUAUUAAAAACACAGCACUGUGCAAACACGAAAGUGGACGUAUACGGUGUGACGCCUGCCCGGUGCCGGAAGGUUAAUUGAUGGGGUCAGCGCAAGCGAAGCUCCUGAUCGAAGCCCCGGUAAACGGCGGCCGUAACUAUAACGGUCCUAAGGUAGCGAAAUUCCUUGUCGGGUAAGUUCCGACCUGCACGAAUGGCGUAAUGAUGGCCAGGCUGUCUCCACCCGAGACUCAGUGAAAUUGAACUCGCUGUGAAGAUGCAGUGUACCCGCGGCAAGACGGAAAGACCCCGUGAACCUUUACUAUAGCUUGACACUGAACAUUGAGCCUUGAUGUGUAGGAUAGGUGGGAGGCUUUGAAGUGUGGACGCCAGUCUGCAUGGAGCCGGCCUUGAAAUACCACCCUUUAAUGUUUGAUGUUCUAACGUGGACCCGUGAUCCGGGUUGCGGACAGUGUCUGGUGGGUAGUUUGACUGGGGCGGUCUCCUCCUAAAGAGUAACGGAGGAGCACGAAGGUUGGCUAAUCCUGGUCGGACAUCAGGAGGUUAGUGCAAUGGCAUAAGCCAGCUUGACUGCGAGCGUGACGGCGCGAGCAGGUGCGAAAGCAGGUCAUAGUGAUCCGGUGGUUCUGAAUGGAAGGGCCAUCGCUCAACGGAUAAAAGGUACUCCGGGGAUAACAGGCUGAUACCGCCCAAGAGUUCAUAUCGACGGCGGUGUUUGGCACCUCGAUGUCGGCUCAUCACAUCCUGGGGCUGAAGUAGGUCCCAAGGGUAUGGCUGUUCGCCAUUUAAAGUGGUACGCGAGCUGGGUUUAGAACGUCGUGAGACAGUUCGGUCCCUAUCUGCCGUGGGCGCUGGAGAACUGAGGGGGGCUGCUCCUAGUACGAGAGGACCGGAGUGGACGCAUCACUGGUGUUCGGGUUGUCAUGCCAAUGGCACUGCCCGGUAGCUAAAUGCGGAAGAGAUAAGUGCUGAAAGCAUCUAAGCACGAAACUUGCCCCGAGAUGAGUUCUCCCUGAGACUUAGAGUCUCCUGAAGGAACGUUGAAGACGACGACGUUGAUAGGCCGGGUGUGUAAGCGCAGCGAUGCGUUGAGCUAACCGGUACUAAUGAACCGUGAGGCUUAACCUU
rnacentral:rRNA from 1 species